GACGAACGCUGGCGGCGUGCCUAAUACAUGCAAGUCGAACGCAUUUUCUUUCACCGUAGCUUGCUACACCGAAAGAAAAUGAGUGGCGAACGGGUGAGUAACACGUGGGUAACCUGCCCAUCAGCGGGGGAUAACACUUGGAAACAGGUGCUAAUACCGCAUAAUUCCAUUUACCGCAUGGUAGAUGGAUGAAAGGCGCUUUUGCGUCACUGAUGGAUGGACCCGCGGUGCAUUAGCUAGUUGGUGGGGUAACGGCCUACCAAGGCUGCGAUGCAUAGCCGACCUGGGAGGGUGAUCGGCCACACUGGGACUGAGACACGGCCCAGACUCCUACGGGAAGCAGCAGUAGGGAAUCUUCGGCAAUGGACACAAGUCUGACCGAGCAACGCCGCGUGAGUGAAGAAGGUUUUCGGAUCGUAAAACUCUGUUGUUAGAGAAGAACAAGGAUGAGAGUGGAAAGUUCAUCCCUUGACGGUAUCUAACCAGAAAGCCACGGCUAACUACGUG
rnacentral:rRNA from 1 species